rnacentral:rRNA from 1 species
GACGAACGCUGGCGGCGUGCUUAACACAUGCAAGUCGAACGGAAAGGCCCUGCUUUUGUGGGGUGCUCGAGUGGCGAACGGGUGAGUAACACGUGAGUAACCUGCCCUUGACUUUGGGAUAACUUCAGGAAACUGGGGCUAAUACCGGAUAGGAGCUCCUGCUGCAUGGUGGGGGUUGGAAAGUUUCGGCGGUUGGGGAUGGACUCGCGGCUUAUCAGCUUGUUGGUGGGGUAGUGGCUUACCAAGGCUUUGACGGGUAGCCGGCCUGAGAGGGUGACCGGCCACAUUGGGACUGAGAUACGGCCCAGACGCCUACGGGAGGCAGCAGUGGGGAAUAUUGUACAAUGGGCGGAAGCCUGAUGCAGCAACGCCGCGUGCGGGAUGACGGCCUUCGGGUUGUAAACCGCUUUCGCCUGUGACGAAGCGUGAGUGACGGUAAUGGGUAAAGAAGCACCGGCUAACUACGUG